CCCUUGGAGUGGGAUCUCCACCCAGACCCCAGGGGUCUGGGUUCCAGCCUUCCUUAAAAAUGGCCCAGUGGCUUCUCUGGAGCUCUGCACCCAGCUAGAGGAGCCGGCAAGGUUAGCAGAUACAACCCAGCUCCCAAGCUGGCCAGGCCCCACCCUCAAGAACUCAGUCUCAACCAGGGAGGCUGACACAUGAGUGGGCAAUGGUGGCUUCUGGGUAAAGAAGGGGGAUUGUAGUCAGGGGGACCCUCCUGGAGGAGGUGACACCAAACUGAGUCUUAACAGUCAAGUGUCAAGUUACAUUUAACAAAGAAAACAGGGUCGGGAGAAGGACAUUUUGGAGGACAGCAUCAUCCUCACAUUGAAUCCAUGAUGCAAGAUCCAACCCAAAUCCCGGUGCCUCCUCUAGGAAGCCUGCCCAGGGUGCCAGCCUGCACUGAACAACUCCUUCCUGGAGUCCCGAGACACCUGGAAUCUUCACAUCACACAGGAAGGGUAGGGUGGGACCGGUGUCUUACCAUUGGGUUCACAGACAAGGGAACCCCAGCUCACGGCAGGUGCAGUGGGGCGGGGCCCCAGCCAGCCAGGCUGAGACCUUGCUGGGUCAGGUCUGUCUCGAGGGGAGGUGCUGUGCUCCCUCUGCCCCUAGCCCUGCAGGGGUGGAGAGCUGGGACUGGCAGACUCAGACCUGGGGUGUCUCCACCCUCUGCCCAGCAGGCACCAGCUCCUCCUCGGCAUCGCACCGGCACCGUGUCCGUGCUCCUUAUGGGCUGAGGGGCCAGGGCGCUCCAGUCCAGGGACCGAGAUCUUGGGGGCCUUAGAACAACAUGAGGAGCUGGGGCAGCCCUAAGACCCUGCCCCGUAUCCCUCACCACAGACCUGGGGCUGCCUGGGAGGCCCCCUCCCAGUGCUAGCGACACCUGGUGGUCAGAAGCUGUCCCUGUGGCCUCCCAAGUCCCAGCCAGACAGGGAGGUGCCAGGUGUCAGGCCCAGAGGGACGCUGCUCACCGCUCAGGGGCUCGCCUGGGACCAAGGGACAGGCCUCCCAGAAGUGGCCCUUUAUCUCUCUUGGUCAAGCCUGCCGCCCACUCCGCCUGCCCAGGAGGAAGGAAACGGCCAAGUAGUACCUGAGAGGCCAAAGUCCAUGGUUGGGGUCGAGGGGCAGAGGCCUCCUUCACCUCCUUCUCAAGCACAGCCCUCUGGGCCUCAUCGUGAAGGUGCUGUCAGCCCAGGCCAGCUUCCCACAGGGAGGCCCUCUCGGAAUUCCCCAAGGGCGGCUGUCUUUCCAAGGCCACACCCUCCUCCUUGUAUAGGAGGCUCUGGACCUGGGGCCCAGAGGAGUGGGAGAGAAAGCUGGGCUGGAUGGGGCCUGGAAGGCUGGCAGAGAGGCAGGGGUAAAUGGGCAUCCUUGCCGAUUGCCUCUAAAAUGAGGUCCCCUUUAGUCUACACGUGAGAGUGAGCCCUGGAAUAGGGUGGAUUAGGUGUGUCCUGGCUCAGCCUGCCACUCACUAGCUGCUGCACACACUACAGGCACAUGGAAAUGCACACGCAAAUGCACACAGACACAGGCACACGCACAUACAGGCGCGCACACAGACACACACAGGCACGCACACACAGGGACACGCACAGUCAGGCACACAUACAGGCGCGCACACACACACAGGCACACAAACACGCACAAGCACACGCAGAGACAUAUGCUUUUUCUGGCUGCUUCCUGUGUAGUUAGGAAGCCCCCACCCCUUCAGGAAGCCCUUGCCUCCCACCCCCGGCUGAGUCAGGGGCCUCCUGGGCCCCCCACAGGCUCCUGGGCUUCCCUCUGCCCCAGCCCGGGCCACCUUUGUGGUCAGUGUUCAGUCCCAGGUCCCUCAGACUGGGAGCAAGGAUGUUAGGCUCAGCCAUGCACCCAGCACAGAGUCCAGUGUUCGGCUGGGCCGGGGGGCAUCGGAUGAGCAGUUGCGGUGACUCGGGACCUUCUCACGCCCCUGCUCCGUGUGUGCCACAAAAUCCCAGGGUGGCUGUACGGUUCCUACUUUAUUAGGAGUAAUAUCAUCCAUUCACCCCCUGGAUAAGAGGAACCAUAUCACUGAAGAGGUGUCCACCCCCUUCGAUAUUGUCAGCCAUGUCAUCCUCUUCCCGCCUGGAUAUUAGGAAGGAUACCCAGGGGUUGGGAGCGGUGUACACCCACUGCGAUCUCGAAAGUAAAAUCAGCCGUUUUCCCGUGGAUAUUAGGAACUAUAUCACAGGUGUGUGUGCACCUUCUGGGAUAUUGGGAGUACUAUCAGCUGGGAUUUUGUCCUUAAUAACCACAGAGGAGAGGUGAUAUUACUACCAAUAUUGCAAGGGGUGUACACCCUCCUGUGAUAUUGUUUCUUAUAUCCAGGAAAGGAGAAGAUUGUCUUAGUACCAAUAUUGAAGGGAUGGACAGCCCCCAUGGGAUAUUGUUCUAAAGAUACAAGUUGAAAGAGGAUGAGCUUCCAUCCAGUAUAACAAGGGGUGUACACCCCGCCUGUGAUAUGAAUCGUAAAACCUAGAAGAAGAGAGAAUGACAUUGCUUCCAAAAACACACGUGGUGUACACCCACCCUGUGAUAUUGUUCCUGUCAUCUAAAGGAAGAGAUGAUGAUACUACUCCCACUACCGGAGAAGGUACACACCCCCCUGUGAUAUUGUUCCUCAUAACUUGUGGGGGAGAGCGUGAUAUUACUUCCAAUAUGACAGUGGCUUGACACCCAGUCUGUGAUAUUGCUCCUCAUUUCCAGUAGGUAAAGUAUGAUGUGUCUGCCGAGAGAGUAGUAGGUGCACAGCUGCCCUGUGAUGUGUCUCCGAAUAUUCAGGGAAACACAGGAGGACAUUACCCCAAAUCUCCCAAAAGGUAUACACCUAUUGUGUGAUAUGGUUCCUAAUAUCCGGAAGUGCAGAGAUUGGUAUUCGUUCUCCUGUCGCAGGCUGUAUACAUGCAUCCGGUGAAAUUGUUCCUAAUAUCCUGAACAAAAGAGACUGCUAAUAAUGGACACACAUUGCAGGGGGGAGUAAUUGGCUCUUAUGAUCCACAUCGCAGGGGGUGAGGCACUCCCCACGAUAUGGGGAGUAAUAGCAACCCCCUCUCCCCCCAGGCUAUUACGAUCCACAUCGCAGGGCAGUUCAGGACACCAGCCCUGCCCCAACCUUGACCCAGACAGUGGGUAUCAUGGGACCACCUCAGGGUGGGUGGCAGCUCAGCUCGAAGGUAUCCCUGCUGCCAAAGACCAACUGUUCCUGCUAGUUUGAAUCUGGCCACAGGGUCUCUGUUGGUGAGACAGGUGACCAUGAGGCAGACACCCUGAAAUCUAGCACGACAGAGCUCAACGUCCCCAUGAGAGGCACCAUGGCACGCAGACUUUGCAGACAUACUAGCGAAGGCCACAGCAGGUCCUGAGUGAGGAACAAGCUGACCAAGAUCCUGGGGUCCUGCCACACAACCUUUAAACCAGGGACUGGAAACUGUUUCCCUAAAGAGCCAAGAAUCAGUAUUUUCAGCUUUGCCAACUGAUCUUUGUCUCAAGGACGCAACUCUGCCAUGGCUGCACCACAGCAGCCUUCUGCAGGUGGCCUGUGAAGAGAUGGGCAUGACUGCACCCCCAUCAAACUUUACUUAUGGAUGUGGAAACUUCUCAGUGUCAUGAAGUGUUAGUUUAUUUGUUCAACCAUUUGGAAACAUAAAAUCCAUUCUUGAUUCACGGGCCACAAGAGCAGGCAGGGACAGGCUGCCCCUGGCCGACCUCUGGAAUGAGCUUAGAGAAGGACAUGACAGGCUGGGCCAGCGCAGCCUCCUCACAGCAGAUUCGCUGCAGGAGGGUCCUUCUUAGCAGCCACUUCUCAUCCUUCAUCUUGGCUUCAGAUGCAGUUCAGGUGGAGAAAGAGAGAACAGAACUGGCCUCAGCAACAAGGAGGAAGGAGAUGCAGGGUCAAGUAGCCACGUGGAUCCAUCACACUCAACACUCACACCAAGCGGAGCACAGGCAGGACCAGCCCGGGGGCGCCAAAGUGGAGGCUCUCUGGGAUGAGAGACCUCUGGCUGGGCAAGAUUCUCUACCUAAAACUCAUAUAGAAGAUCUACACGGCAGUAGUUACAGAAAACACACACUAAGAAAGAGCCCAAGAUGAAAACAGCACACCAAGCUUGGCCAACCGGCUCUCACAAGCCAGUAGGUAAGAAAGCCCAGGAGAGCCCACCAGAGGAGCUGGGGGUGGGUUCCUGCCUGCAGGGGGCCUGGGACAUCCCAUUCCCACAGACGAGGACCCAUGUUUUGGGGAGGAAGCUGUCAGAGUCACCAGUGAGCUGUUCAGAGCUGGAGCCACAGAGCAGGAAACACGCGGACCCCAACAUCUGGCGCAGUGAGCAGGGUCCGUGGCUCCACGAGAGCAAGGAACCGGAGGGGGAACACCCCGGGCAGGCGCGGGAAGACGGCGGGCAGGUGCCGGAGACAAGUGGUUUCCAUCUCGACGGUUGAAACAGUGCCAUGGCGAAGAGGAGCCGAUCCGAAGAGUUCCUCAAGGAAUUUCAGGAGCUAAAUCUGAGUGCUCAGAGAACAUUCACCUUCAGGACUGGGCGUGCGGAGCCCCCGACAUGGGGUCAACUGAAAAAGCUUACUCAGAAAGCUGAAGGGGUCAUUCAACAAGCGGGCAGCCCAAAACCCCACUGACUUUAUUCCUGGCUAUGCUGGCCAUAGUAAAUUGUCAGGAGGAGGGGGCACCCAGAAGGGGCCCUGAAGUCAAGGGCAUCGUCCAACCUUUCUACCUCCCCAGCUGAAGACAUGCUGGAGGACAUUUCUCCAGUUUCAUAACAAAGAAGAGAAAAAAGAAAUCAAAAAGACCUGGAGGAUAGGGAGUGUGACCACUGUAUGUCAGCCACUGGGGGACAGGCUUCAGCUUACAACCACCUUCCAAAUUCCACCCUCUCACCUUGGCAGAAGCUGGCCAGGAAUUGGGGCCAAUGGAUGGGUGGGGUCUGCACG